rnacentral:rRNA from 1 species
GGGAUUGCCUCAGUAACGGCGAGUGAAGCGGCAACAGCUCAAAUUUGAAAUCUGGCUCCUUCGGGGUCCGAGUUGUAAUUUGUAGAGAGUGCUUCGGGUGAGACCGCGGUCUAAGUCCAUUGGAACAUGGCGUCAUAGAGGGUGAGAAUCCCGUAUGCGACUGCGGCGCGAGCCCAUGUGAAGCCUCUUCGACGAGUCGAGUUGUUUGGGAAUGCAGCUCAAAAUGGGUGGUAAAUUUCAUCUAAAGCUAAAUACUGGCUGGAGACCGAUAGCGCACAAGUAGAGUGAUCGAAAGAUGAAAAGCACUUUGGAAAGAGAGUCAAACAGUACGUGAAAUUGUUGAAAGGGAAGCGCUUGCAACCAGACCUGUCCGUGGGCGAUCAGCCGCUGUUCUCAGUGGUGCACUCGUUCUGCGAUCAGGCCAGCAUCGGUUCUGGCGGUUGGAUAAAGGCCUUGGGAAUGUAGCUUCCUUUCGGGGGAGUCUUAUAGCCCUCGGUGCAAUGCGGCCAGCCGGGACCGAGGACCGCGCUUCGGCUAGGAUGCUGGCGUAAUGGUUGUAAGCGACCCGUCUUGAAACACGGACCAAGGAGUCUAACAUCUAUGCGAGUGUUUGGGUGUCAAACCCAUGCGCGGAAUGAAAGUGAACGGAGGUGAGAACCCUUUAGGGCGCAUCAUCGACCGAUCCAGAUGUCUUCGGAUGGAUUUGAGUAUGAGCAUAGCUGUUGGGACCCGAAAGAUGGUGAACUAUGCCUGAAUAGGGUGAAGCCAGAGGAAACUCUGGUGGAGGCUCGCAGCGGUUCUGACGUGCAAAUCGAUCGUCAAAUUUGGGUAUAGGGGCGAAAGACUAAUC